AAGUUUGGAAUAGAUUUGAAGGCUUUGAAGCAAUUCAAUCCUUUGAAAUAAAGUUUGUGGUGUUUGAUUUGGUCACUAUCAUGUGCUAAAGGCCAUUGGUCUUGUCAUGCUAAUGAUCCGGUCAACCCAUUGCAAAGAUCUUUUUUGCAAAACUUACCUUUAAUGGUCUCAAAUCAGGCAAGACUACCCGCUGAACUUAA
rnacentral:misc_RNA from 1 species